UGGGGAAUUUUGCACAAUGGGGGAAACCCUGAUGCAGCAACGCCGCGUGAUUUAGAAGGCCUUCGGGUUGUAAAAAUCUUUUCUAUGGGAAGAAAAUGACAGUACCAUAGGAAUAAGGACCGGCUAAUUACGUGCCAGCAGCCGCGGUAAUACGUAAGGUCCGAGCGUUGUCCGGAAUCAUUGGGCGUAAAGGGUACGUAGGCGGGUAAGCAAGUUAGAAGUGAAAUCCUAUAGCUCAACUAUAGUAAGCUUUUAAAACUGCUCAUCUUGAGGUAUGGAAGGGAAAGUGGAAUUCCUAGUGUAGCGGUGAAAUGCGUAGAUAUUAGGAGGAAUACCGGUGGCGAAGGCGACUUUCUGGCCAUAACCUGACGCUGAGGUACGAAAGCGUGGGUAGCAAACAGG
rnacentral:rRNA from 1 species